ensembl:snoRNA Gm22210 predicted gene, 22210
UCCCCCUGGCAAUGGGCAAAGGAACACCCUGUGGGUGGUGUUGCUCUUCUAUCAGUCAGGGCAGAGCACAUGGCAGUCCUCAGUUCACCCUAGCUUGUUGCCUGGCUUGGUGGCCAUAGCUGUACUAUACCUAGUACACAUAA